GAUGAACGCUGGCGGCGUGCCUAAUACAUGCAAGUCGAGCGAACAGACGAGGAGCUUGCUCCUCUGACGUUAGCGGCGGACGGGUGAGUAACACGUGGAUAACCUACCUAUAAGACUGGGAUAACUUCGGGAAACCGGAGCUAAUACCGGAUAACAUGUUGAACCGCAUGGUUCAACAGUGAAAGACGGUCUUGCUGUCACUUAUAGAUGUAUCCGCGCCGCAUUAGCUAGUUGGUAAGGUAACGGCUUACCAAGGCAACGAUGCGUAGCCGACCUGAGAGGGUGAUCGGCCACACUGGAACUGAGACACGGUCCAGACUCCUACGGGAGGCAGCAGUAGGGAAUCUUCCGCAAUGGGCGAAAGCCUGACGGAGCAACGCCGCGUGAGUGAAGAAGGUCUUCGGAUCGUAAAACUCUGUUAUUAGGGAAGAACAAAUGUGUAAGUAACUAUGCACGUCUUGACGGUACCUAAUCAGAAAGCCACGGCUAACUACGUG
rnacentral:rRNA from 1 species